GUGCUUGCUCCAGCAGCACAUAUGAGAAAUUGGACUAAAUACAGAAAAGAUUAGCAUGGCCCCUGUGAAAGGAUGACACACAAAUUUGUUAAGCGUUUCCACACAAA
rnacentral:snRNA from 1 species